rnacentral:rRNA from 1 species
AAGCGUGUGUAGGCGGACGGGUAAGUACCUUGUGAAAUCCCACGGCUCAACCGUGGAACUGCUUGGUAUACUGCCUGUCUUGAGCCAGCUAGGGGCAACCGGAACAAAUGGUGGAGCGGUGAAAUGCGUAGAUAUCAUUUGGAACGCCGACGGUGAAAACAGGUUGCUGGGGCUGUGCUGACGCUGAGACACGAAAGCUAGGGGAGCAAACGGGAUUAGAUAACCCGGUAGUCCUAGCCGUAAACGAUGUCGACUAGAUCGCGGCAGCUCUGACGCUGUCGCGGUCGAAGUAAAAAUGUUAAGUCGACCGCCUGGGAAGUACGGUCGCAAGGCUAAAACUCAAAGGAAUUGACGGGGGCUCACACAAGCGGUGGAGCAUGUGGUUCAAUUCGAAGCAACGCGCAGAACCUUACCUGGGCUUGACAUGCUAGGAUUACCCGGAUGAAAGUUCGGUAGGCCCCGCAAGGGGUACAACUAGUACAGGUGCUGCAUGGCUGUCGUCAGCUCGUGUCGUGAGAUGUCGGGUUAAGUCCCUUAACGAGCGAAACCUUUGCCCUUAGUUACUAACGGGUUAUGCCGAGGACUCUAAGGGGACUGCCGGUGUCAAACCGGAGGAAGGUGGAGAUGACGUCAAGUCUUCAUGGCCUUUAUGCCCAGGGCCACACACGUGCUACAAUGGCGUCCACAAAGCGAACCUAAAGCGCGAGCUCAUGGAAAUCGCAAAAAUGACGCCCCAGUUCAGAUCGGAGGCUGCAACUCGCCUCCGUGAAGUUGGAAUCGCUAGUAA